UACGUAGGGUGCAAGCGUUGUCCGGAAUUAUUGGGCGUAAAGAGCUCGUAGGCGGUUUGUCGCGUCUGCUGUGAAAACUCGGGGCUUAACUCCGGGCCUGCAGUGGGUACGGGCAGACUAGAGUGCGGUAGGGGAGACUGGAAUUCCUGGUGUAGCGGUGAAAUGCGCAGAUAUCAGGAGGAACACCGGUGGCGAAGGCGGCAUCCUGGACCGGUAUUGACGCUGAGGCGCGAAAGCUAGGGGAGCAAACGGG
rnacentral:rRNA from 1 species